CUUCCAUCAUCCAUGAGAGGUGGGAAGAGGUACACUGUAUCUCUGCAAUAAAACUUUGGCCAGGUUCUACCUCCUCUGAGCAAAGGAUACUUUUCUAUGUAGGUGUAGAUGGUUCUCCUUUACUAAUCUGACAUGGUGCAUCUGGAGACAACAUCUGAUGGGAUCCAAAGACAACUUGAAACAAAGGUGGAUGUCAGCUCUUGGUGUGUUUUCAUUUGGUUCUCUUUUUUAAAUCUCCCUUUUGUUAUCGCUCCUGUUGUAGCGUGUCCAUCAGUGUGUGAAGGGUGCGCCCUGUUCCAAUGAUACUGCAUUGCUGCAUCCAGCCUUUCGUGGGAGCACGGUACCAAGCGUCCGGAAUUGAUUAUCCCAAUCAUUUUUGAUAUGUAACUGAAAAAUUUGGUCUCAUGCAAUAAAAAUGUACUGGCUGCAUUUUAGCAAGGUUUAUUUACUCUUGCAAGUAAAAACGAUCAACCGUGAAGCGUAACAAAUUCUGUAUUUAGUUUUUUUUUCUGUUGUGGUGGUUUUUGUUUUGUUUUUUGUUUUUGUAAGAUUCUAAAUAAAUUAAAUACGAGUCA
rnacentral:lncRNA from 10 species